CGUAUCUGGUUCCCCUGCAUUUGAUCGUGAAAAUCUUUCGCCUUUUACUAAAGAUUUCCGUGCAGGGGAAUGUCAGUGAUGAUAUAUUUAUUUUUGGAUAGCUCCCAGUGAACUAA
rnacentral:snRNA from 1 species